rnacentral:rRNA from 1 species
CCACGCACACUCCCUCUGCAACCCAUUUUCCCUCUUGAGCAGCCCAAACAAGAGAAAAAGGACACGAAUGUACACAACGCAGCGACGCGUUCCCGGGUCGCCGGGUACCAGAGGUGUACAGCCGGCCCCUCCACCAACUCACACACCAAAUGUCGCCGACCCAGGUAAGGCGACGACUGCGGCAUGCAGGGGGGACAGGUGAGGUAAAAAACAAAAUAGAAAGACAGGCAAUCUACGUUCGGCCCGACCGGAGGUAGGCGGGCGAAAGGAUGAGCGGAACGUACAAAGACGGUGACGGACACCCAGACCCAUGUACGCACAAGAACAAGCAUACCACCCGACCAACGAAGGACACACCGAUUUUAUUACUCGUACGGAAUGACAAGGAGGGAGCGACGGGGAAAACAACGGUUCUGCCGGACCAAUCGGGAGCAGGAGGAAGGUGAGAGCGAGAGUGAGGGGCGGAGCGAGCGAGCCGGACGUCGAGAAUCUCGGCAGAGGCAGGUGGCGCUUGCCAACACAAACCUCAAGAAGCAGUACCGACACGAAGGAAGCGGAGAGCGCAUGUCAACUCCCAGUAUGUCGGACGACAAAUUGCGAGCCGGACGACGAGCCCCUCCAAAGGGCUGCAGGCGCACUAAGUGACCGUUCCCUAGAUUUGACUGACUACAACUACGACUACGAAGACGGUGGCGUGGACGAUUCUGGCACCUGUGACGCCAACGACUCUGUUCCGCCGACGACAACGACGGUUCUUGCAAAAUCGUUUUUUCGAUUUCAUCGCCGACUAGCUGCGAAACCCUACUCGCACGUACAGACCGACAAAACAUAUAUCUUCCAGAGACGGAACCGGGAGCGGCGGAACCCGAGCGAUGAAACCGCGACCGAUGAUUGCGGAGGCGGGCGUUCCUGUUCACUUGGGACUUAGUGGCAGCAACAGAAGUCCGUGGAGAGAAACGUGGGAAGACCUGUACGAUGAUGCAACGUACGCACAAACGUUUGGGUCAGAAACUGCGAGUAUGUCGGGACAGUUUCAAGUCAACUAUGUGAAGGGAUAAAUUCUACGCUUGAUUCGAUGAAAGUACAGAACAUUUAUAACAGCAACCGGAAAGGACGAAAGGGAACGGAGGAGUUACUGGUAAAGAUAGGUAACAUUUAUAAGCAAGCCGGUACGAUGGAUUAUAUACAUAAUAAUCGUCACGUUACAAUAAAGAAGACUUCUAAUACGUACACACGAUAAGAGUCCCAAACGAGUUAAUACCAAAACCCAAGAACGGUCACCGAUAUGGCAUGUGCGGGAAACUCGUAAUAGAAGUCGGAGGAUACGUCGGAUUAAUGGUACACUUCGAGAUAUACAUAUCGAAGUGGGAUUCGCGUACUAAAGAAAACCGUAGUCUGUUAGACGAAUAGUACAACUUGCGUAAUAUACUUCGAGACACAAGUAUCGAAGUAGAUUCCUGGUUGAACGAAAACCUUGACGAGAGAUUAGUGAUACAUAUAUAAACCUUGGAGACUACAAGUAGAAUCUGGGUAUAUUAUAGAUAGGCAUGGUGAAUUACGUUUAUAAAAGGAUACAAAUCAAGUAUGAUAAAGAUGAAGACAUUGACGUGAUGUCUUCUUUAUGUAAAUAUAAAGAGACAUAUAUUAGUAGUCGUGUAUGGGAUAUUCUGUACUUUUAUUUUAGAUACGAAGUAUUCUAGGUUGAAAUUGUAACAACAACAUAGACGGUAGUCUAGUUUGUAAUGUAAGAAAAGUGAAGUUUGGUUAAAUUGAAGUUGUGACUAGAGUCGUACAAAGUAGACUACGGAUUUAUUUUA